ACGGGUGAGUAACACGUGGGAACGUACCCUUUGGUUCGGAAUAACGCUGGGAAACUAGCGCUAAUACCGGAUACGCCCUUUUGGGGAAAGGCUUGCUGCCGAAGGAUCGGCCCGCGUCUGAUUAGCUAGUUGGUGGGGUAAUGGCCUACCAAGGCGACGAUCAGUAGCUGGUCUGAGAGAAUGAUCAGCCACACUGGGACUGAGACACGGCCCAGACUCCUACGGGAGGCAGCAGUGGGGAAUAUUGGACAAUGGGCGCAAGCCUGAUCCAGCCAUGCCGCGUGAGUGAUGAAGGCCUUAGGGUUGUAAAGCUCUUUUGUCCGGGACGAUAAUGACGGUACCGGAAGAAUAAGCCCCGGCUAACUUCGUGCCAGCAGCCGCGGUAAUACGAAGGGGGCUAGCGUUGCUCGGAAUCACUGGGCGUAAAGGGCGCGUAGGCGGCCAUUCAAGUCGGGGGUGAAAGCCUGUGGCUCAACCACAGAAUUGCCUUCGAUACUGUUUGGCUUGAGUUUGGUAGAGGUUGGUGGAACUGCGAGUGUAGAGGUGAAAUUCGUAGA
rnacentral:rRNA from 1 species